CUUCCGAUUCUGUUUGGUUCGGCUCAAGCACUCCUGACCGUUACGCAGCCUGGAAAUGGAGGUUCUGCCUGGCACGGGCCUCAGGUUACCCUGGAAGUCACAGAACGGGGGUCUGGCUCGGGAAGGACAGGGGGCUGCCUGGGGCUCGGCCGGCACCCACCAUCCCUCCAGGCACAGAAGGCCCCCCACCUCCUCCACCAUGCCAUACCCCUCCCCAACUAAAUAAUCUUUGAGCACAGUCAUUACAGGUACAGCUAUGUUUGUAAUUACUUAAUUUGGAUGUUAAUCUUUACUCAAAACUAAUUAUCAUGCUUCAGACUUUGGCAUUCAUUCUUAGAAUUCACUUUCCUAAGCUAAAAAUGAUUAGAAUACAUGUAGGUGGAAGUCAUAUUGAAAUGUAUUAAGCAGUGGAUGAGAAGUUAGUGCUCAAGUAAACAAGUGAACAGAUAUAAUUUCUCUCUCUUGUCGAGAAAUACAGCAUAGCAGUGAAAGAAUAGCAGACUGGAGAAAAUUUAAUUUUUAAUUUUCAUUUCAUUUCAUUUUUAACAGGGAAAACCUGGACUUGUUCAUAAGCAGAACUGAAGGGGCCAUAGACAGGUGAAAGUUUCAAAAAAUAGGCAAGGGAACACCUCAUUGUUAAAUGAAGAUUUCUUGAGAAGUCAACAAAGUAUGGGGAAAAAAUGCACAGGAGGUAAGCCCACGCUUUCCCUGUGAGCAAGAGGCAGAGGGAAAAUGCUAAGUGAAAAUGGUGGAGGCAGAGGGGUUGCAGUAGCUGGGUCUGGGGAGGGGUCUUCUUAUCUUUCCUGACAUAGCAGACAAUGUGUAUGUUCAACAGAAGGCAGCAAGGCAUGGGGUUAAGGUAUUAGAGAGGCUGUAAGUAAUUAGAAAAAGCCACUUGGAGAAUGUGAUGGGAAAUUGUUCAAGCAUGACUAUUAGAACCGGGGAGCAGCCGUGAGGUCCCUGGUAAGAUUAGACAGCACAAAUUUACAGUGGACAUCCUUAACACUGACUGGAGGCAGCAGCACUCAGCAGUCCAAGAGCAACUGUAGCACAAUCUAACGCAUGAUCUUGAGAUCAGGAAGCCAGAAAUGGGAAGGACAAAGGAGUGAAGGAUUCUAACGCAUCAGGGAACACAGUGUGAAAACAGUUGGUCAUACGGUCUAGACUCUGAGCUGGGAGGAGAGUGAAGACAUCUCGUGGUUCAUGUAUCAUGGGGAAAGGAUGGGUUUGAGAGACUGGAAGUUAUGAUACUGAAGAAUUGAUGUUGAAAGUGGGAGGAAAUGGGACAAAGACUAUCUACAUAGAGCAUAUUCAUAUCCUUCAAGGAUGAAUUAAUAACCUUUUUGUGCUGCUUUUUAUUCCCACCAUCACAGAAAAAUUAAAAAAAAAAAAGAAGUUAUUUGGUGUUUGGGAUUCACAAGCAAACCAAAUCCUGAUUCACAUGCUUGCUCUCUGCUCCAGUAAACUGGAGAGGUUCUCAGGUUUACAUGGUUUACUCAUGUGUAAAUGCGGCAAAAAAUACCUCUUAAGGUGUCCUGAGGAUUAAAGGAGAUAAAAAGGUGCAGUACUUGGCAUGUUGUAGGCAAUCAAGUAUUUGUUAAUUUUAUCAUGGGAUAUUCGGGUCCUACUGGUACUACUACUAAUUUUGUUUUCCUAUAUCAUUGCUUUCACUGUACCGGGACUAAUUGUUGUUUUUAAGUUUAUUUAUUUACUUUGCGCGAGAGAGAGAGAGAGAGAGAGAGAGAGCGAGAGCUGAACUGCAA